rnacentral:rRNA from 1 species
CCGACAAGCGGUGGAGCAUGUGGUUUAAUCCGAUGGUACGCGAGGAACCUUACCUGGGUUUGACAUACAGUGUGAUAGGUCAGAGAUGAUCUAGCGUAGCAAUACAACGCUGUACAGGUGCUGCAUGGCUGUCGUCAGCUCGUGCCGUGAGGUGUUGGGUUAAGUCCCGCGACGAGCGCAACCCCUACUGCCAGUUACUAACAGGUGAAGCUGAGGACUCUGGCGGAACUGCCGGUGACAAACCGGAGGAAGGUGGGAUGACGUCAAGUCAUCAUGGCCCUUAUGUCCAGGGCUACACACGUGCUACAAUGGGUGAGACAGAGUGACGCGAAGCCGCGAGGUGGAGCAAAUCGCAGAAAAUCAUCCGUAGUUCGGAUUGGAGUCUGAAACCCGACUCCAUGAAGGUGGAAUCGCUAGUAAUCGUGGAUCAGCAUGCCACGGUGAAUACGUUCCCGGGCCUU